rnacentral:lncRNA from 1 species
GACUUUUGCUGUCUUCAGACUGGGGUCUUCAUCUCCAAGGAGAUGCCUCACUUCCUCCUGGACAAAGCCGGAACACCACUGGCACGGGCCAGCAAUCCAGAGGUGUGUGCUGUGUGCAGAGCUUCUCCAGAGAAAACCUGAACUCCAAAGUCUGCUUGUAACAAUGAUUGCUGUCACAUUCAUCAUAGGAACACAUAGAUAUUAGUGCUGGGGUUGGAACUGGCUUGUUUUCAUCACCCAACAGUCUCUGGAUUUCAAGUUGUCUAAUGUUCUAUAAAUC